UUGUCAGCAAUUCUCUGUUUAUCCACAGAACAGGUACAGCAUGGGCAGCAGCCAAGCGGACUCCCAGGCAGUACUGCCCUGCCAAUUUGCUGUAGCCCUGCUCUGGAGGGGUGACCUCUCUGGGCAAGAGGGGAGUUCAGUCUCCACAUACUCCUGCUGCA
rnacentral:sRNA from 1 species